ACAAGUGGGCAGAGGUUUCCUUCACAGCUUUCCCAGCUUCUGCAUAGCAAGGAAAAACACAAAGUUUCAGGUUUUCCAGUCCUUCCACCCCCUUUUCUGCUCCUUGGGCUCAUCUGCAACCUCACCAAAGGGGGAAAUACAGCUGAUACUGCCAUAACAGUCAACAGUGUGGUGCCCUGUAGAAGUGCUACCUCGGAGGCAGACCCCUACUUGCUCUGAAGUGCUCCAGACCAGCCAGAUGUGAAACAGCUUCUGAAGUACCAGCUACUCGUAGUUCUGCUGCAUUUGGGUAUCCAUUACUGCUGCUAACUGCAAGCAUUAUUUUCCUGUCUACAGUGCUCUGCUAG